rnacentral:misc_RNA from 1 species
UCUCCGUUGGUGAACCAGCGGAGGGAUCAUUACUGAGUUUACGCUCUACAACCCUUUGUGAACAUACCUAUAACUGUUGCUUCGGCGGGUAGGGUCUCCGCGACCCUCCCGGCCUCCCGCCUCCGGGCGGGUCGGCGCCCGCCGGAGGAUAACCAAACUCUGAUUUAACGACGUUUCUUCUGAGUGGUACAAGCAAAUAAUCAAAACUUUUAACAACGGAUCUCUUGGUUCUGGCAUCGAUGAAGAACGCAGCGAAAUGCGAUAAGUAAUGUGAAUUGCAGAAUUCAGUGAAUCAUCGAAUCUUUGAACGCACAUUGCGCCCGCCAGCAUUCUGGCGGGCAUGCCUGUUCGAGCGUCAUUUCAACCCUCAAGCUCUGCUUGGUGUUGGGGCCCUACAGCUGAUGUAGGCCCUCAAAGGUAGUGGCGGACCCUCUCGGAGCCUCCUUUGCGUAGUAACUUUACGUCUCGCACUGGGAUCCGGAGGGACUCUUGCCGUAAAACCCCCAAUUUUCCAAAGGUUGACCUCGGAUCAGGUAGGAAUACCCGCUGAACUUAA